CUGAGCCAGUGAUGUGCUGUUAUCCCUGUCUGACAGCUCAGCUGUGAGGAAGAAAUAACUGUAUACUGAGGCUUAA
ensembl:snoRNA